UCCUCUUGCAGACAGUCCUACAUGCCUUGAUCGACCUAUGCAUGACACAACUCCAAGAUAGCACGAUAGCAUUCUUCCUGCUUUGCGACAUGAUUCUUGUCAAGUGUUUCCUAUGGACAGGAACAGGAUGAUGAGACGCGACUGGUUGCUGCUCGGGAGGCGGAAUCUUCAAAACCUAACCGAUUGAGGAGAAGAUCUUGUGGAGACUGGACACAGAAGGCAUGGCUUCGAGGUUUCAAUGGCGCUGUAGGAUGUGAGCUGCAGCCACACAGGACAGGAUGAAUAGUGCGGCCCUAGAGUAGACCAUCAGAAACCCUAGAACUGGGCUGCUCGAGAGGCAUAGUUUUGGCGUUUCGGUGGAUCUAUAGGAGGUGAGCUUUAGUUCCACAGGAGGAAUAGCUCGGCCCUAGGGCAAACCAUCAGAAACCCUAAAACCUGGGCAGACCAUCAGAAACGCUAAAACAUGGACUGCUCGAGAGGCAUAUGUCUUUGAGGUUCCGAUAGAGAUGUAGGACGUGAAUCAGAAUCAGCUUCUAGAGCGUACAUCUCUUUUGUAUGCAACGUGUCAGGAUUUUUUUUUUACCAUAUUGAUGCAUGUACGUGAACCUUUUUUUGAAGUGGCCCGUACGUCAACCUAACUCUUCCUACCUUUUUUUACGUGAUGACGCUUCCUUGCCUAGUCGUUUUUUUAUGUGCUAACGCUUCCUUGCCUAGUCUAAUUACAAUGGAUGGGCUGUAUAUGUGACAACGUCAUAGUCCGAUAUGUUGGUACAUACACAUUAAUAUGUUACGUAAAAACCUUUAAAUCUCAGCCAUUAUU
rnacentral:lncRNA from 1 species